rnacentral:rRNA from 1 species
GAUAGACGCUGGCGGCGUGCCUAAUGCAUGCAAGUCGAACGGGAAGCCCUUCGGGGCUCGACCGUGGCGGACGGGUGAGGAGCACGUAGCUAACCUGCCCUGGUGUGGGGGAUACCCUUCGGAAACGGAGUGUAAUACCGCAUACGCUCAGUUGGGGGGACCUGGCUGAGGAAAGCCGAGAGGCGUACCAGGAGGGGGCUGCGUCCGAUUAGCUCGUUGGUGGGGUAACGGCUCACCAAGGCGAUGAUCGGUCGCUGGUCUGAGAGGACGAUCAGCCACACGGGGACUGAGACACGGCCCCGACUCCUACGGGAGGCAGCAGCAAGGAAUUUUCCACAAUGGGCGCAAGCCUGAUGGAGCAACGCCGCGUGCGGGAUGACGCCCUUCGGGGUGUAAACCGCUUUUCGAGGGGACGAAGGCAAUGACGGUACCCUCGGAAUAAGGAUCGGCUAACUACGUGCCAGCAGCCGCAGUAAAAC